CCUACGGGAGGCAGCAGUGGGGAAUAUUGCACAAUGGGGGAAACCCUGAUGCAGCAACGCCGCGUGAGUGAGGAAGUAUUUCGGUAUGUAAAGCUCUAUCAGCAGGGAAUAGAAAAGAAGGUACUUGAAAAAGAUGCCCCGGCUAACUACGUGCCAGCAGCCGCGGUAAUACGUAGGGGGCAAGCGUUCUCCGGAUUUACUGGGUGUAAAGGGAGCGUAGAAGGAAAGGCAAGUCAGAAGUGAAAGCCCAAGGCUCAACCAGGGGACUGCUUUUGAAACUGUCAAACUAGAGUACGGGAGAGGUAAGAGGAAUUCCUAGUGUAGCGGUGAAAUGCGUAGAUAUCACGAAGAACACCGAUUGCGAAGGCAGUUCACUGGACUGCAACUGACACUGAGGCUCGAAAGUGUGGGUAUCAAACAGGAUUAGAUACCCGAGUAGUC
rnacentral:rRNA from 1 species